rnacentral:rRNA from 1 species
CUUGCUUUCUUUGCUGGCGACCGGCGCACGGGUGAGUAACACGUACCCAACCUGCCCUUUACUCGGGGAUAGCCUUUCGAAAGAAAGAUUAAUACCCGAUAGUAUAAUGAUUCCGCAUGGUUUCAUUAUUAAAGGAUUCCGGUAAAGGAUGGGGAUGCGUUCCAUUAGGUUGUUGGUGAGGUAACGGCUCACCAAGCCUUCGAUGGAUAGGGGUUCUGAGAGGAAGGUCCCCCACAUUGGAACUGAGACACGGUCCAA